AUGCUAUUAUGAGGUCAUACUCAUGUUGCAUAGCCGGUCCCAAGCCCGGAGAAAAGGAGGAGGGACCAACCAUACCAACCUGAGGGGUAGUGUUGUGACCAUUUUAUAUGUUCUUAUGCUCCUUUAUUUUUAUGUUUAGACGUAAUAGGCCUAGGAAGAAGGGCAGAAAUCUAGAAUGUAACUGAUUAGUAAAAGAUAAUCCCUCCAGGAGCACACUAUUUUCCUAAGCUGGAUUGCCUAGCAAUUGGGGGCCGCCUGCCUCUUCUGGACCUCAUUACCUCUCUGUUUUGUACGCUUUCUAUCUACUUUGGAUGAAUGAAAUGAUGAGAUCCUGCUUUCUUGAAAAGAAGCGUGAGGAGACCAAUUUGUUUCAUUAAAAUGUUGGCUGAGUAGAGUAUGUGUUUAUUGGUAACCGGGGACAAUGAAUGUGGGGGCAGUGCGAUAGCUGUGUUUGUUCUACUCAUAUCAUCCAUUGGAACAAGGAAUCAUUUCUCAGUUUCUGCUGCAGAAGCUGUAUAAAUAAUUCAGACAUGAAGUCUUUGCAAUUGGUUGAUUCGAUCAUGGAUUCGCAAUAGUCAGACAAAAUUGUUGUUUCAUAUGACAUGGCGAGAUUCUUCUCUUUGUACUAGAGGGAGCAUGCUUUUGUGUUGGAUAUGUACCUUUUUGAGAUCAUUGCAGGGUCCAUGUGGUACAGUGGUAGCAAGAUCGCUUUCUGGUAUUUUUACUCAAGGUGGUUUUACAAUGUGGAAACUUGUGUGGUCACGACGUUGCAAAAUGAUGAGUGAGCUACUACCUCAAUUGGAACCAUGCCCAAGCUUGCUUCUGUGCCAUUUGUGAUACGCCAUUUCUUGGCAACUUUAUUUCUUGUCUUGCGUAAAUUUUGUGAUGUAGAGGGAGAAGUGGAUGCCAUCUGUAGAAGAACAUGCCAGUAAGUAAAAGUUAUUGACAUGUGAAGGAAAAAUGCUUAUCCUACUCAGUUAUGUUAGGCUUGGUUGAAACUUCUCAAGAAAUGAAAGUUGACACAUCAUUUGAACAUUUCAGGUUGGCAGUAGAGAUGCUAAUAGUUUUUCUUUACUUCCUAAUGUUCGCUCCUAUUUUAGCAUGCUUCUGAAAUUUCUGUUUUCUUUAGAAAACUAGGGGGCUUGGGCCUCAUAGCACAUAUUGGUGACCACUGCGAGUUAGUCCUUCAAUUUCCUUAAGGAACCAACAGCAGUUGGGAUAAUGCCCAGUUCAAGAUUUUUGAACCAAUGGAAUACAAAUCCGAUGUCUGUGAAACAAUCCUUUUGUGGGAACAGGUCAGCACAUGGCCUCUGAAAUAACAUGUUUAUCAGCGUAUAUAGAUGUGUUAAUGCUAAUAUUAUGUCAGUACCACAAUAUGAAGAUCGUGUUGACAAGGGAGUACUUAGAUGUGGGACCUGCUGGAUGGCUGGAUUCAUGCUGUGCUGGAAAAUAAACAAACUGCUUAUUAUGCAGCUAAAAGGAUAGGACAGCUGUAAGUUCGAGAUUGAUUUAAUUGUUCUUAUAAACUGAGAUCAAUCUUGCUGUUAAAUGUGUUUUUCAGAAUCUGCAGUGACGCUGACAAAUGUUACGAUCUUACUCUGUUUAAAGAGCUUAGUGUUUUGCUGCCAGCUAUACCCCCUUUCCAUCCAAACCAAUUUGUGACAUGUGCUGUUGUUGGCAACUCAGGAGAUGACUUAAAACAGAGUUCUGAUGAGAGAUUGAUGCGUACAAUGCCGUGUUCCGAGGAAAUGAGGCACCUGUUAAUAAGGUAAUCUAUUUUGUAUGUUGUUAUGGACUUGUGGAGUCCAUAAUAUAUUCCUUUACAUUGUCAAUUUACUGUUCUUAUUGCCUGCCUUGCUUUUCUUAUUACCUUUUUUUGUUUAAGUGUCAUAUAGUGUUAUACUUCUAUGAUUCUAUCCAACCAACUGAAAAGUACAUUGUAUUCUAGAACUAAUUUACAUAACACUUUCCGUAAUGACUCGCUUUUUUUUUCAUCUGCUGAAAUAUGCAAAAUAAGUUGCGUUGAAAAGGGAUUUUUGACUGGUUGUCAGGAGCACUGCUCGAAGUAUGGCAGCAAUACUGAAGGGCCCCUGUAAUGCUGUAAUCCUAAUUUAUUCCAAUUGACUUCAGUCUUGACUCUUAAAUCCCUAUACUUUAUUUGUCGAUACUAUGAGAAAUCACAGGACAAUGCCCUUCAUUCAAGUUUUCAAUUUGGGAAGUGAUCUUGUUGCGCUCUGAGAAUAGUCGACACUUCACGUUUUUGAACCACGAUUUCCAACUUUCUAACUUAUGAUUGCAGCUGAUGAGGUGCUCAUUAUAAAACUUUGACUCGCAAAGAAAUCAAUGCAAUGAUGGACGUAAUUUAUUGCCUGUAAUUUUUACCUCUACUAAUGCAGAACGAUUUAAAUUUUUCUAUAAUGUUUUUACUUAGUUUUGAUUUGUGGACGACCAGAAUAAUUUACAUUUGAACACCAGACAAUUGUUUUACCUAGCAGGAACUUCCGAAUCCUGUUCAUCUUUUUCAACGUACAGCCUAUGAAGAGGUGCUAAAGGAACUGAAAUGAAGUCCAUAGAAUUGGUCCUUUCCAUGUAUGAUAUUGUCGACUUGUAUAUGGUUUUAUGGUUGAUCCUGGCUACACUGAAUGGUGACUAAAUGCAUGUGUGUAAUAAUACUUUCAUGGCAUUAUUUAUUCAUGCCUUUUUUGUGUGUCUAAGUAUGUAUUUUGCCUACUUCAUUAUUUCAGGACGAGGUAUUUUCUCAUCCCCUGGGAAAGGACACAACCCACUGCAAGACCGAGCUUAUUAUCAACUUCUGGAGUGCCUUGGAGUAAGUCUCAUCUUCCUAGAACACCUUCCUCGAACCUUUCCACCGCGACGGAGUCGAGUUCCUCCUCCUCCAUCCCGGCUGGCACCGAGCUUCUCCUACACUGGGACGGUGCCGUCUCCCGUCGAGUUGUCGUCGCCACUGCUUGUCCAGCCGCCUGUCUCGCCAUCAAAAGCACAUCCCCUGCAUGCGUUGUGGGCAGAUGAUCUUGUAUGAAAUUGGAUUGACUUGUGUUGAGGUUGGAUGGGUUUGUGUUGAAUUUGGAUGAUGUUUGUCAAAUUUAAAUGAUGUUUGUUGAAAUUA